GGAACCGUAGCUUACUAAUAUAUAAGGCUAAGGCAUGAGUCUGCAAAACUUUUAUUCGUCGGUUCGAAUCCGACCGGUUCCU
rnacentral:tRNA from 1 species